rnacentral:rRNA from 1 species
ACAGGGGACACAGGUGGUGCAUGGUUGUCGUCAGCUCGUGUCGUGAGAUGUUGGGUUAAGUCCCGCAACGAGCGCAACCCUUGCCUUUAGUUGCCAUCAUUAAGUUGGGCACUCUAGAGGGACUGCCGAUGAUAAAUCGGAGGAAGGUGGGGAUGACGUCAAAUCAUCAUGCCCUUUAUGUCCUGGGCUACACACGUGCUACAAUGGUCGGUACAACGAGGAGCUACCUAGCGAUAGGAUGCAAAUCUCUAAAAGCCGAUCCCAGUUCGGAUUGUAGGCUGCAACUCGCCUACAUGAAGUCGGAGUUGCUAGUAAUCGCGAAUCAGAAUGUCGCGGUGAAUGCGUUCCCGGGUCUUGUACACACCGCCCGUCACACCAUGGGAGUUGGCAAUACCCGAAGCCAGUGAGCUAACCGUAAGGAGGCAGCUGUCGAAGGUAGGGUCAAUGACUGGGGUGAAGUCGUAACAAGGUAGCCGUAUCGGAAGGUGCGGCUGGAUCACCUCCUUUCUAAGGA